rnacentral:rRNA from 1 species
UAUAAUAUAGGGCAAGAACACGAAGCCUUGUGAGGUUUCCUGUGGUGGUUGGGAUGCUACCUGAUAGGCCAUUGAAUCCGAGAUAUAGGUAUUUAAGACGACGAAGCCGUCCUAAAUCAUCAGGGAUGGAGCCCGUGAGAUUUGUAUUGUUGAGGUUGAGAACAGAGAGGAAAGAGAGAUUACCAAGGUGAGGAGUGAUUG